rnacentral:rRNA from 1 species
UACGAAGGGGGCUAGCGUUGCUCGGAUUUACUGGGCGUAAAGGGCGCGUAGGCGGACAGUUAAGUUGGGGGUGAAAGCCCGGGGCUCAACCUCGGAAUUGCCUCCAAUACUGGCUGUCUUGAGUGUGAGAGAGGUGUGUGGAACUCCGAGUGUAGAGGUGAAAUUCGUAGAUAUUCGGAAGAACACCAGUGGCGAAGGCGGCUCACUGGCCUGGUAUUGACGCUGAGGUGCGAAAGCGUGGGGAGCAAACAGG